rnacentral:rRNA from 1 species
CCUACGGGUGGCAGCAGUGGGGAAUAUUGCACAAUGGGGGAAACCCUGAUGCAGCGACGCCGCGUGAGCGAUUAAGUAUUUCGGUAUGUUAAACUCUAUCAGCAGGGAAGAAAAUGCCGGUACCUGACUGAGAAGCCCCGGCUAACUACGUGCCAGCCGCCGUGGUGAUACGUAGGGGGCGAGCGGUAUCCGGAUUUACUGGGUGUAUAGGGAGCGUAGACGGCGGUGGAAGCCACACGUGAAAGCUCGGGGCUCAACCCCGGGACUGCAGUUGGAACUGUGUGUCUGGAGUGUCGGAGAGGCAGGCGGAAUGCCUAGUGUAGCGGUGAAAUGCGUAGAUAUUAGGAGGAACACCAGUGGCGAAGGCGGCCUGCUGGACGACGACUGACGUUGAGGCUCGAAAGCGUGGGGAGCGAACAGGAUUAGAUACCCGAGUAGUC